rnacentral:rRNA from 1 species
UACGUAGGUGGCAAGCGUUGUCCGGAUUUACUGGGUGUAAAGGGCGUGCAGCCGGAGAGACAAGUCAGAUGUGAAAUCCACGGGCUCAACUCGUGAACUGCAUUUGAAACUGUUUCCCUUGAGUGUCGGAGAGGUAAUCGGAAUUCCUUGUGUAGCGGUGAAAUGCGUAGAUAUAAGGAAGAACACCAGUGGCGAAGGCGGAUUACUGGACGAUGACUGACGGUGAGGCGCGAAAGCGUGGGGAGCAAACAGG